CGAAUGGCUUUCUUUAAAGCCACAUGAUCUUCCAAAAUGGAUUAACU
rfam:Biomphalaria glabrata isolate BB02 unplaced genomic scaffold LGTN_random_Scaffold2197, whole genome shotgun sequence.